AUUCCCUUUAAAAGAGGGUAAAAUUGGGUGUACAUAUAAAGGGGAAAAAAACAGAGUGACUUACAAUGUGUCAAAAAUACAGCAAUAAAAACAUUACUUGUGAGAAUACAUACAAUGUGAGAAUUCUUCUAUACAGAGUGUGAUCUAUAUGUUUGUUACCUGCAGAUUUGAUUCAACGACUCACUCGCUCCAGCUAUCUGAAUCGUGCUCGUCGUCACUUCCCGCCAUUGCCUAUUUAUAUGUAUGUCACAAAACCACUUUAUCGAUCCCCAAGAUUAUUAUAUCUUUUUCUUUGUGCAACAGAUUAUUAUAUCAAGUGUCCAAAUUUAACCAAGAAGGAGAGAGGGAGAGACCUGGCGAAGAGUGUUGGCUUUCUCUAGAAUUGCAGCCACCUUCAAGUUGGUUUUGGGAACAGCUACUUGAAAGUUUGGUCUCCCUGAGGCAUCUGCUGGUCUCAGGUUGAACGACUGCUAAAGUUUUUUUCAAGUUAAAUGUUCUAUAAUAGAAAACUGAAUAAAGUGAAAAGGAAAAGAUGAAAUGGUGAUUUGACCUUGCUCCGUAUGAUCUCUAGUAGUGAAUCAUUCUCGUCCACUCGAGCUCCAACGUGUGUCCUGUUCCCUUCAGAUACUUUCCUCAACUGUAAUCAAACACAAAUUGAGUCUCAUGAUUAACGCGUGAGAGAGAGAAGAGAAAAAUAAGCCAUUGAAGUACUAACCAUGCUUCUGUCAAUGCCAAUAACAAGCGUAUCCUCGUCUCUUUUAAGCUUUCCAGCUUUCUGAUUCUGAUUAUAUGAGUUAUUGUCUCGCAAGGGUGGGGAUUGUUAUGCUCUCUUAAGUUCUGACUAAACCAUUCAAGUGCCAUUGCUUCAGUCCUCCAGUCAGCUUCUAAGCCUUGGGCCGAUUCUGCCAAAGAAAAUGAAUCCUCCGGAGUUCUAUUUAAACACUUGUGUUUACUUUCCAUAUAGGUGUCGCUUGUCCCAUUGACUCCUGAAGGAGACUGUUCCUCGGUUGCUUUAGAUUCUUCUGUAUAAAUAUGAAAAUUAUGGUUUUCACCAUCUGUAACCGACACUUCUGAUGGAUAUUGUGCCUCGUUCGCUUGAACUGAUCCAUUCUGUGUGUUUUCAUCCCUCUGGAUGUUGAAACUGUUGUUUCCACUGCCUGCAAGUGAUGGCAUUUCGGUUGAUUCAACCAGCUUCCCCAUCCACCAUUGUGUCGGAGGAAGAGGCGGAAGCGGAGGUGUUAUCUCCGGAUUUGCCUGAGGUGUUUCAUGGAGGGACGUGGAGAGGGGUAGUAUGGACUCAGGGGAUACGUUCAAGAAAUCUUCUUCAUCAGUCAGACCCUUGGAAAGAACAGACUCAGAGAUAUGAUCAUUUAAUGAUGUGAAAAUUUCCUGGUAUGGUGCAUGAAGAGCUUCUAUUUCAGUUAUGCUUGAAGGAAAAACAUCUAAAGGUGAACUUUGAACACCAACAGAUCCAUUUUGUGUAGGAGGAGACUCGUCUGAUGAUGUUCUUGAAUUUGCUGACCCUGUUUCUGAUGGACUUUCUUGCCUUUGGUUCUGUAUCUGUAAGCAAUACUCAGAUGAAAGACAUUCUUCUGUACCUAAAAGACUCUCCUGUGGAUCACUAAUAGUUUCCAAUUCUUUCUGGGGCACGGUCUCAAUGGCCUUAUUAUUCAGGCCAGUCUGGUUAUCGUGAUCGACAUCACCUGCAAAACAAGUACCAUCAGGAAUUGGUACCUCAGGGUCACUACUAUCAUCUGAAACAAUAGACAUGGUUUGUGGAUCCUCCUGUCCAGAAUAUGAUGAUAUCUCAGCCAGAUCAGGGUUGGCCAAUCCGUCUUCCAGACAAGAUGAGGCUGAGAGGCUCCCGUAUCCUGUGUGAAGAUCUCUUGGAGUAUCUGACAUCAGAGUUCCAUUUUCUGAACUGAUUUCAGAAGUUGAAAUGUGUUUUGACUGUGCAGGAUUCAUGGAAGAUCCGUCUUGGGAGUUCGUUUCAUCUUCUUUUGGGGCAGCAUAAUCCUGUGCAUCAGCAGACAGAGAUAAAUCUUCAAAGUUGUCAAAUGUGCUAAUGUAAUGAUUUGGAAGAAGAAAAUCGGACUCCAAUGCCACUGAUGUUUCAUUUAAACUCUUUUUGGUAUCUGGAAUGAAAUGACCAGCUUCAGAAGAAAUGUCCUCGGAUUCCAGAGCCUCUAUCUCUUGAUUGGUUAUGGAAGAGAACUGGUCUUCCACUAAAGCACUUACAGAUAUCUCAGAUGCAGUCUCCACACUGAAAACAUGUUGAGAAUGAACAUCAUUGGUCCCACCCUCAUAUGCGUCCUGUGGCACUUGUGUAACCUUUAAAAGAUGAGUUUCAGGGGAAAUAUUAAGCAUGGGAUCCCUUCUGACUUCAAAGACCUCACAAGCUUCAGCAUUUGCUUUAUUGGACUGAAGCUCCAAGUGACUUCCAGAAUCUUCGGGAAGAUUUGCAGGACUCUCGUAGCAAGACAAACUGAAAGGUGUUUGUAAGAUCUCCAGAGUCCCCAUGCCUGCGGAAUCUAUGUCCGGUGUCAUCUGGGAAAAUGACUCGUCUAAAUCUACAGCAGCCUCUUCAGCUUUAUGUGGUUUACUUUCAGGAGAAGCUCUCUGGAUAUCAGUACACAAAAGACUAGAUUCUCCUUCCUCCGGUGAGUGGCGCAAAACAUUAGAAAACUGAGUCAGAACCUCUGUUUGAUUCACUUCUGCAUUAGUACAGAUCUGCGGCUGACCAAAUCCUGGAAAUCCAUGGUCACAUCCAGCCUUGUCAUCACUCCCUGCUUCCUUUACCUCUGACUCCGUGGAAGCAGGUGAAUCUGCGUCAUUGUUCGUCUUGCAACACAAAUUCACAGAAGAGCUACUUUCUAAACAAACCACUGGUGACUUCUCAUUAACCGUAAUCUCGUGAGGAACAAAAGGAAUUUCAAGUAUUUCAUGACCAGCAAUGGAUUCUAUCUCCAUCUCAUUGUAUUUUCUAGUGCCUCCACUGUUGGAAUAAACUAAGGAAGGUAUUGUAUGGUGAAGAAUUCUUGAGGAAUUUCUCCAUGUAACUUGCCCCAGAGCUUGAGUUAAUCGGAGGUCCAUUCAGCUGUCUUCUCUUCAGUUUCACAUGGAAUUCAGGAUUUCUGUGUCCGUUCUCAACAUGCUCCAAAAAGAAUAGCUGAUGCAACCUGUACUAUCCAAAAAGUAGCUCAUGUCACCAAAUCAAGUGCCGAUCACAUAUAUGAACUUUAGACAUAGGAAUGACAGAAACAGAAGUAGAUAUAGAGCAAGAGUGCUCACUUGGCAUGUGAUGUCCGUGAAUCCUCAGGCGUCUCUUUAAUAGUUGUGUGAGAUCCUUUCUUCUGUAUUUGAAAUAGAUUUGAUCAUAUGUAACACAUAAUACCCAAAUGUGCAUUUUUCAGAUGCUUAUUUUUA
rnacentral:lncRNA from 1 species